CGUCCAUACUGCUGAGUGGGCUCUGUGACUGGGAGGGUAACCUUUAGGUAGCUUACAGAGCCUCGUAGAAGGUUUCGUGGUUAUCUGCCUCAGCAAAAGUUUUUAUCUUCUUGGAAAGUUUGACCCACCAUGCGUUCUGCAUGCAAUAAUACAUUAUUUGAUGAUGUAACGAUAUCAUAGACCUACGGCGAGUUUGUGUUCUUUCGAAACCACUAUUCGAGACAACAAAGUGAGCAUAAUUUGAGUAAAACAUUUCAAAGCUAAACUCAUUCACUAUUACUUUACGCAACUCCUGAACAAAACGAAAGCUAAUACCGUUUUGUAAUACUUUUCCAGGAACCAUUCAGAUGUCUCCAUUUUAACAGUCCACGACGGAGCAGUCAUAAUAAGAAGACAUAUACUACCCCAACAGCAAAUGAGAAACUGCCCACGUGACGUCUCCACUUUGAGAAUCCAG